rnacentral:RNase_P_RNA from 1 species
GAGUGGGUCGGGCAAUCGCGUGCUUAGCAUGAGGAAAGUCCGGGCUUCAAAGGGCAAGAUGCCAGCUAACAGCUGGGCGGGGCGACCCGACGGAUAGUGCCACAGAAAAGAAAACUCUCCCGCCACCUUCAAUAGCUAUCGCACAAGAUACUAUCAAAGGUGGCGGGAGAAAAGCUGAAACGGUGCGGUAAAAGCGCACCAGUACAUUGGUAACAAUGUAGCUUGGUAAACCCCAUCUGAAGCAAGCGCAAAUAGGAACGCCAUGCGGCCGCCUUUCCGCGCGUUCGGGUUGCGUGCUUGAGUUGCGUGGUGACACGCAAUCGAGAUAAAUGAUUGCCGAUUACAGAACCCGGCUUAUAGACCCACUCUUC